CCGACCUUAGCUCAAUUGGAAGAGUGCAGGACUACAGAUCCUUUGGUUGCUGGUUCGAAUCCGGCAGGUCGGG